rnacentral:rRNA from 1 species
UGUUUGCAGAGUGCGGAUGAGUGGCGACCGGGUGAGUAACACGUGGAAAAUUUUCCUAGGAGUGGGGGAAAACAUUCGAAAACGGAUGCUAAUACCGCAUAUCUUCAUAGACCGCAUGGUCUAUGAAUGAAAGACGGCUUUGCUGUCGCUCUUAGAUGAUCCCGCGGCGUAUUGGUUAGUUGGUGGGGUAAAGGCCUACCAAGACAAUGAUACGUAGCCGACCUGAGAGGGUGAUCGGCCACACUGGGACUGAGACACGGCCCAGACUCCUACGGGAGGCAGCAGUAGGGAAUCUUCCACAAUGGGUGCAAACCUGAUGGAGCAAUGCCGCGUGAAUGAAGAAGGUCUUCGGAUCGUAAAGUUCUGUUAUUAGUGAAGAACAAAUCGAGGAGUAACUGUCUCGAUUUUGACGGUAACUAACCAGAAAGUCACGGCUAACUACGUGCCAGCAGCCGCGGUAAUACGUAGGUGACAAGCGUUGUCCGGAAUUAUUGGGCGUAAAGGGAGCGCAGGCGGUUGGAAUAGUCUGAUGUGAAAGCCCACGGCUUAACCGUGGAAGGUCAUUGGAAACUGUCCAACUUGAAUGCAGAAGAGGUAAGUGGAAUUCCAUGUGUAGCGGUGAAAUGCGUAGAUAUGUGGAGGAACACCAGUGGCGAAAGCGACUUACUGGUCUGUAAUUGACGCUGAGGCUCGAAAGCGUGGGUAGCAAACAGGAUUAGAUACCCUGGUAGUCCACGCCGUAAACGAUGAGUGCUAAGUGUUGGAGGGUUUUCACCCUUCAGUGCUGGAGUUAACGCAAUA